rnacentral:lncRNA from 1 species
UAUCCAUCAGCCUCGGGCUACUCCACUGCGCAGGUGGGAGAGACAAUAGCAGAUGAUGCAGCUGCAGGCCAAGAUGGGGAAAUGAUGGCAGCGGGGAAAAAAGGGAAGACAAGCAACUCAUCACACUAAAACACCCAACUGGAAGGUGGCUUGCAACCGGAGUUCACCCGUCGUAUGGUGAGAGCCGAAUAGGGACCUAAAAUCCUUUCAACCCUGGUCUGUUUACUGAAAUCUACCUCCACAGCUUCAGCCCAAGC